rnacentral:rRNA from 1 species
GGUCAAGUGACUAAGUGCAUGUGGUGGAUGCCUUGGCGAUCACAGGCGAUGAAGGACGUGCGAGCCUGCGAAAAGCUCCGGGGAGCUGGCAACGAAGCUUUGAUCCGGAGAUGUCCGAAUGGGGAAACCCACCCUUCGGGGUACCCUUGGCUGAAUACAUAGGCCAUGUGGAGCGAACCGGGUGAACUGAAACAUCUCAGUAGCUCGAGGAAAAGAAAUCAACCGAGAUUCCCAAAGUAGUGGCGAGCGAAAUGGGACAAGCCUGCACGAUUUAGCUGACACGUUAACAGAACGGAUUGGAAACUCCGGCCAUAGUGGGUGAUAGCCCCGUAUGUAAAAACGCGUUGGUGGAACUAAGCGUGCGACAAGUAGGGCGGGACACGUGUAAUCCUGUCUGAAGAUGGGGGGACCAUCCUCCAAGGCUAAAUACUCGUGAUCGACCGAUAGUGAACCAGUACCGUGAGGGAAAGGCGAAAAGAACCCCGGGAGGGGAGUGAAAUAGAUCCUGAAACCGCAUGCAUACAAACAGUGGGAGCCUCCUUGUGGGGUGACUGCGUACCUUUUGUAUAAUGGGUCAGCGACUUACGUUCAGUUGCGAGCUUAACCGAAUAGGGGAGGCGCAGCGAAAGCGAGUCUGAACAGGGCGUUCAGUAGCUGGGCGUAGACCCGAAACCGGAUGAUCUAUCCAUGGCCAGGUUGAAGGUGCGGUAACACGCACUGGAGGACCGAACCCACUAAUGUUGCAAAAUUAGGGGAUGAGCUGUGGAUAGGGGUGAAAGGCUAAACAAAUCCGGAGAUAGCUGGUUCUCCUCGAAAACUAUUUAGGUAGUGCCUCGUGUAUCACUCUCGGGGGUAGAGCACUGUAAUCGUUGGGAGGGUCGUCUAGACUUAUCUCGCGAUAGCAAACUCCGAAUACCGAGAAGUGUUGAGCACGGGAGACAGACGGUGGGUGCUAACGUCCAUCGUCAAGAGGGAAACAACCCAGACCCACAGCUAAGGUCCCAAAUGAUGUGCUAAGUGGUAAACGAAGUGGGAAGGCAUAGACAGCCAGGAAGUUGGCUUAGAAGCAGCCAUCCUUUAAAGAAAGCGUAAUAGCUCACUGGUCGAGUCGGUCUGCGCGGAAGAUUUACCGGGGCUAAGCAUAGUACCGAAGCUACGGGUCACACUUUUAGUGUGGCGGUAGAGGAGCGUUCUGUACGCCUGCGAAGGUACAUUGAGAAGUGGGCUGGAGGUAACAGAAGUGCGAAUGCUGACAUGAGUAACGAUAAUGGGGGUGAAAAACCCCCACGCCGAAAAUCCAAGGUUUCCUGCGCAACGCUAAUCGACGCAGGGUUAGUCGGUACCUAAGGCGAGGCCGAAAGGCGUAGUCGAUGGAAAGCAGGUUAAUAUUCCUGCACCAGUAGUAACUGCGAUGGGGUGACGGAGAAGGCUAGAUCAGCUGGCGGUUGGAAGUGCCAGUUUAAGCGUGUAGGGAGGAUACUUAGGCAAAUCCGGGUAUCCAUAUUCUGAGACGUGAUGACGAGUUGUUCUUAGGGACGACGAAGUGAUUAAUGCCAUGCUUCCAAGAAAAACCUCUAAGCUUCAGGUUACCAGUGGCCGUACCCCAAACCGACACAGGUGGAUGGGAUGAGAAUUCUAAGGCGCUUGAGAGAACUCGGCUGAAGGAACUAGGCAAAAUGGAACCGUAACUUCGGGAGAAGGUUCACCCCGAGUAGGUGAAGGCACUUGCUGCUGGAGUUGAAAGGGGUUGCAAUAAAUUGGUGGCUGCGACUGUUUAGCAAAAACAUAGCACUCUGCAAACUCGAAAGAGGAAGUAUAGGGUGUGACGCCUGCCCGGUGCUGGAAGGUUAAUUGAUGGGGUUAUCUUCGGAGAAGCUCUUGAUCGAAGCCCCAGUAAACGGCGGCCGUAACUAUAACGGUCCUAAGGUAGCGAAAUUCCUUGUCGGGUAAGUUCCGACCUGCACGAAUGGCGUAACGAUGGCCACACUGUCUCCAGCCGAGACUCAGUGAAAUUGAAAUUGCGGUGAAGAUGCCGUAUACCCGCGGCUAGACGGAAAGACCCCGUGAACCUUUACUAUAGCUUUGCACUGGACUUUGAACCUAUUUGUGUAGGAUAGGUGGGAGGCUUCGAAGCAGGGACGCCAGUCCUUGUGGAGCCAACCUUGAAAUACCACCCUGGUAUGUUCGAAGUUCUAACCUAGGUCCGUUAUCCGGAUUGGGGACAGUGUAUGGUGGGUAGUUUGACUGGGGCGGUCUCCUCCUAAAGAGUAACGGAGGAGCACGAAGGUACCCUCAGCCUGGUCGGAAAUCAGGCGAUGAGUGCAAUGGCAUAAGGGUGCUUGACUGCGAGACGGACAAGUCGAGCAGGUACGAAAGUAGGUCAUAGUGAUCCGGUGGUUCUGUAUGGAAGGGCCAUCGCUCAACGGAUAAAAGGUACUCCGGGGAUAACAGGCUGAUACCGCCCAAGAGUUCAUAUCGACGGCGGUGUUUGGCACCUCGAUGUCGGCUCAUCACAUCCUGGGGCUGAAGCAGGUCCCAAGGGUAUGGCUGUUCGCCAUUUAAAGUGGUACGCGAGCUGGGUUCAGAACGUCGUGAGACAGUUCGGUCCCUAUCUGCCGUGGGCGUUUGAGAUUUGAGGGAAGCUGCUCCUAGUACGAGAGGACCGGAGUGGACGAACCUCUGGUGUUCCGGUUGUCACGCCAGUGGCAUCGCCGGGUAGCUAUGUUCGGACAGGAUAACCGCUGAAAGCAUCUAAGCGGGACGCCCCUCCCAAUAUGAGAACUCACUGGGACCAUGAGUCCCCUGAAGGGCCCUGGGAGACUACCAGGUUGAUAGGUCAGGUGUGGAAGUCCAGUAAUGGAUGAAGCUAACUGAUACUAAUUGCCCGUGAGGCUUGACCAU